GACGAACGCUGGCGGCAUGCCUAACACAUGCAAGUCGAACGAGACCUUCGGGUCUAGUGGCGCACGGGUUCGUAACGCGUGGGAACCUGCCCUUAGGUUCGGAAUAACUCCCCGAAAGGGGUGCUAAUACCGGAUAAUGUCUUCGGACCAAAGAUUUAUCGCCUUUGGAUGGUCCCGCGUUGGAUUAGCUAGUUGGUAGGGUAAAAGCAUACCAAGGCGACGAUCCAUAGCUGGGCUGAGAGGAUGAUCAGCCACACUGGGACUGAGACACGGCCCAGAAUCCUACGGGAGGGAGCAGUGGGGAAUAUUGGAAAAUGGGCGAAAGCAUGAUGCAGCAAUGCCGCGUGAGUGAUGAAGGCAUUAGGGUUGUAAAGCGUUUUUAACCGGGAUGAUAAUGACAGUACCGAGAGAAUAAGCCACGGCUAACUCCGUG
rnacentral:rRNA from 1 species